rnacentral:rRNA from 1 species
UACGGGGGGGGGCAAGCGUUGUUCGGAAUUACUGGGCGUAAAGGGCUCGUAGGUGGCCAACUAAGUCAGACGUGAAAUCCCUCGGCUUAACCGGGGAACUGCGUCUGAUACUGGAUGGCUUGAGUUCGGGGAGAGAGAUGCGGAAUUCCAGGUGUAGCGGUGAAAUGCGUAGAUAUCUGGAGGAACACCGGUGGCGAAGGCGGCAUCCUGGACCGAUACUGACGCUGAGGAGCGAAAGCCAGGGGAGCAAAGCGGG